ensembl:lncRNA
UAGGUAACGGUAGUGGGUGGAUAAGAAAUGAACUAGCCAGCUGUGACAGUAGGUUGGACAAGAAACAUUUUACUAAAUGCACUGGAAUGAAAAACGACGAACCCUAUAGAAGACAGCUAUUUGAAAAGUCUGCUUCUACAGACUGCCUGCUGGGUCCCGUGGAGCCUGAUCCCCUGAAGGAUGGUGACCUGAAGCCCUGCGGUCCUUCCCACAUGCCCCCCAUCAUGACCAACUCCCACCACAACGCCUUCCACGUCUGGGACACAGACAACAUCAUCAUCCCCAUGACCCCCAUCGAGGGGAGCCCUCUGGCCAGCCCGCUGCUGAAUGUCAUAACCCACAUACCCUCCUUCUUCCCGCACUCGCUCAGCGUCAACAGCCCUGCCUUGAGCCAUUCCCUACAUGGCCGAGAGAUGAGAGAGUCGGACGCCUAAGGCCGACCACUGGAGGCCGGUAGCCAAGCGGUAUGAGCUUUGGGCCAGUAACCGAAAUGUUGCUAGUAAUGGCCAACUCUGGCCUUGCCCCCAUUCUCCGAGGGUGUCUCAGGGAAAGUGGGAUAUGCAAAAUCACAUUUUCCAAUUCACACACUUGUACAUGUGCGAAUUAGGACAAAUAUUAGCACCCACCCACAAGAUACGGUGAAAUAGCCACAGAGAGAGCAAGAGGCCUAGGGACCACCCAUGGGAUGAUGCAAUAAGUACUUUAUCAAAGGUGACCCACCUGCUCUAAAGAUGGAGGAUUGUUUAGCAUGAGUGUCUUGUCUAAAAUCAUCUGAAGCCAUUCAAGGCACAGUGCAAUAACACUCAUUUUAUUGGUUCUUUUGAGGACAGUAGGCUUACAGUCAGAAAGGUACAUUUUAAUCCAGUACUGGUAAACCAUAUUUAGUUAGCUAUUCCAUUAGCGGUUAUUCUGGUGUUCAUCUUAAUUUGAUUCAUAUGGCUCAUGUCAUUUCCAGUACCAAACCUGUAGCAUUCGAGCAGAUCUCUAUGCAGUACCAACCCUGUAGCAUGCUAGCAGAUCCCCAUAGACUUCCAGUCAUUGCGCUAACUCUUGUUAGCAUUGGCUUGUGAAACUACCUCUAACUUCCUUCAUACUCUUACUGGACACAGACAUAAAAGUGGUAUCCACAAGUUCAUCUAACUCGGGGGAAGUAGAUAAAGGGCCUCAUUGCCAAAAUCCCGAAGUAUAACCGUACCAAACUUUCUUGUUUAGCCUCAACACAUUCCAUCCCAAAAUGUCAGAGGAACAAAAGAAAUACUUUUGAAUGUUUUGGGCACAUCAUUGUGUAUUCACCAGGUGAAAAGAAAAUCACGGGACAUCAUAGGACUGCACACAAUCGAUUGACGGUUUUAUGACGCUUUUGUAAUUUCACCAACUUGGUUGGAGAGUUAUAGAUAUCGGCCAAGCUUAAUGUAUUUGGAUGGACCUUUUCUGGAGUUGGCCCAAGUGGACAUAUUCUUCACAUCUUUCCAAUCAAGGAAACCCCAGUUGAACAUGCAGAGAUACUGCCUCACUUGGCCAGGUUUCCCUUGGCAAAGAGGUCUUCUGACCUCAAUGGGACCAUCUGAUUAACAAAAGGUGAAACUAAAGGGGUUCUGAUUUAAAACCAAAGUUGGUGGGAGCAGUGCAAUGAUGGAAAGGGAGUGAUGGAAGCGUUACCUAUCAUCCCUCUUUAAAGCUUGAAGGGAUAGCUUCAGAUUGACUGGCUGUUGUGUAUUAAUGGCCAUGGGACAAGGAGAGGGAUGCCGGACUUCCCCUGUGAACUUUCCAUCGGAUUUGUGACAAGUCACCACACUUCCUUCCUCUCUUUGACACCAACAGACUAGUGACUUUUCCUCCUCGAGCAUUUAAACAUUAAAACUACCAAUAAACACACAGAAA